UGGCUCUGAUGGACUGGCGUGUUAGCAGGAGCAAUAGUCUUCAUAGUACAGGCCCCGCGCUGUAAACAGUUUCCUGAGAUGGACUGGUGGAAUGAAGGUCCUCUGUACCAAAUAUCUGACAUUAACGCCUUCUCUGAAAAUGGACUGAAAGGAGUGGAGGAAAAGCUGAACUAUAUGACCCAGAUGAAGGUGAAGGGCCUUGUUCUGGGUCCAGUACACACUGUGCAAGAAUACCAGCUGGAUAAAUUAAAUCUGGUUUCAUUUAAACCUGAAGUAGGCACUGAGAAUGGAAUCUUUGCUGAGCCAAGCAAAAAAAAAAGAAGAAGAGUGACCUUUGACCCUGAUAUCUCAAUAGUGCUGAUUUUAACACCCAACUAUGAAAAUGCUUCAUUCUGGUUCAACAACGUUAAAGCUGUUGCUGAGAAAAUCAGACUAAGUGCCUAUAAGAAAGUGGAAAUCGUAAAGGCAGGCCUAUUUUUGUGGACAGUGAAUAUGGGUAGAUGAAAAGAUAGUUGAGAAAGGAAGCAUUAAAGAGCCAAACAAGAAGCAUGUACAUACUGGUUGAAAAAAGGGUUUGGUGACCUGGGAGACAACAUGAAAACAUUCCUGGUCAUCUAUACAAGCUAUAUUCUACCAAGAGCUCUAAUAGGAUCUGUCACUGGUUUCUUUCAUGAUGAACCUGCAGACGAGUUUGGGCUGGAGUCUGAGUGGACAGACUCUGGGUUCUCAUGCCUCCAGAACUCCAGCAGUGCCUGUAAGGCUCUAUCAAAUGCUGCUGGUCACCCCCCCGGGUACACCUGUGUUCAGCGCUGGAGAUGAGGUCGGACUGAAGGCUGGGGAAAAACCUCAAAUAAUGUGGGACAUGGAAUACCCAGCAGCAGAGACGAAUGCAACAGCAAAA